UGGCCGUGGAGGCCUGCUCCUCAUGCUCCUCCUCUGGAUCUAAUUCUUGAUUCUUGCGUCGGUCUGAACUGUGCGAUUUACGUUUCGUCAGAGGUCUGUUCUUGGGAUUCUAGUGCUG